CAGCAGCCACGGUAAUACAGAGGGUGCGAGCGUUAAUCGGAUUUACUGGGCGUAAAGCGUGCGUAGGCGGCUUCUUAAGUCGGAUGUGAAAUCCCUGAGCUUAACUUAGGAAUUGCAUUCGAUACUGGGAAGCUAGAGUAUGGGAGAGGAUGGUAGAAUUCCAGGUGUAGCGGUGAAAUGCGUAGAGAUCUGGAGGAAUACCGAUGGCGAAGGCAGCCAUCUGGCCUAAUACUGACGCUGAGGUACGAAAGCAUGGGGAGCAAACAGGAUUAGAUACCCCCGUAGUUCCUGUCUCUUAUAC
rnacentral:rRNA from 1 species